GCCACGGUUAGCUCAGUUUGGUAGAGCGUGAGACUUUUAAGGGCCUCUGGAGGCGCGAAAGUACAUCUUAAGGUCGUGGGUUCGACCCCCACAUCGGGCG